GUGGAUUAGAUACCCUAGUAGUCCACGCCGUAAACGAUGAUCACUCGCUGUUAGCGAUACACAGUUAGCGGCUAAGCAAAAGCAUUAAGUGAUCCACCUGGGGAGUACGGCCGCAAGGCUGAAACUCAAAGGAAUUGACGGGGGCCCGCACAAGCGGAGGAACAUGUGGUUUAAUUCGAUGAUACGCGAGGAACCUUACCUGGGCUUAAAUGUAGAGUGCAUGAGGUAGAAAUACUUCUUUCCUUCGGGACUCUUUGCAAGGUGCUGCACGGCCGUCGCCAACU
rnacentral:rRNA from 1 species